AGGCGAGUAGCGAAGAGGUUAAACGCAACUGACUGUAAAUCAGUUCCCUUCGGGGUUCGGCGGUUCGAUUCCGUCUUCUCCCACUA
rnacentral:tRNA from 1 species